rnacentral:rRNA from 1 species
ACUUGCUGGGUACGUCGAGUGGCGAACGGGUGAGUAAUACGUGGGUAACCUGCCCUCUUCUUUGGGAUAAGCCCCGGAAACGGGGUCUAAUACCGGAUAUUCUGCUUCUGCCGCAUGGUGGGGGUUGGAAAGGUUUUUCGGUGGGGGAUGGGCCCGCGGCCUAUCAGCUUGUUGGUGGGGUGAUGGCCUACCAAGGCUUCGACGGGUAGCCGGCCUGAGAGGGUGACCGGCCACAUUGGGACUGAGAUACGGCCCAGACUCCUACGGGAGGCAGCAGUC